CCUAACACAUGCAAGUCGAGCGGCUAGCGGGACAGUAGCUUGCUACUUUUGCCGGCGAGCGGCGGACGGGUGAGUAAUGCCUGGGAAAUUGCCCAGUCGAGGGGGAUAACAGUUGGAAACGACUGCUAUACCGCAUACGCCCUACGGGGGAAAGCCGGGGACCUUCGGGCCUUGCGCGAUUGGAUAUGCCCAGGUGGGAUUAGCUAGUCGGUGAGGUCAUGGCUCACCAAGGCGACGAUCCCUAGCUGGUCUGAGAGGAUGAUCAGCCACACUGGAUACUGAGACACGGUCCAGACUACAUACGGGAGGCAGCAGUGGGGAAUAUUGGCACAAUGGGGGAAUCCCUGAUGCAGCCCAUGCCGCGUGUGUGAAGAAGGCCUUCGGGUUGUAACACGCGCGUUUCAGCGAGGGAGGAGAGGUCAGUCGCCUAAUAUCUGCAGACUGUGACGUUACCUCCAGAAGAAGCACCCGGCUAACUCCGUGCCCACACGCCCGUAUUCCGGAGGGUGCCGCCGUUUUAUCGAAGUCAACCUGGUGGCGUCUCCCCCCCCGCGGUGGCUCCGUCUAUAAUGU
rnacentral:rRNA from 1 species